GACGGGGGAUGCAAGUGUUAUCCGGAAUCACUGGGCGUAAAGCGUCUGCAGGUGGUUUCCUAAGUCCACUGUUAAACCUUGAGGCUCAACCUCAAAUCUGCGAUUGGAAACUAGGAGACUUGAGUAUAGUAGGGGUAGAGGGAAUUUCCAGUGGAGCGGUGAAAUGCGUAGAUAUUGGAAAGAACACCGAUGGCGAAGGCACUCUACUGGGCUAUUACUGACACUCAGAGACGAAAGCUAGGGGAGCAAAUGGG
rnacentral:rRNA from 1 species